rnacentral:lncRNA from 1 species
AAACUGAUCUUCCAUCUCCAAUAUUAAAGAACCUUUCACCUUCUUCAAAUCUUCUACUGACCUGCAGACCCUGUAAUGAAUUGCAAAUAUUAAAAGGACUUCUGGUAUCUAAUACCCAGGUAGUAGAAUCACAAAUUGAGAGAUUACAAGGUAUUAUCAUAUAAUUAUCUUGUCCAGCAACAACUUGCUUCUUUCUCGAUCUGUUCGGAUCCAGGAAGGCAAUGUAUUGAGGCAAUUCUUUUUUCAGUGCCCCUGCUUCUUGCAGUAGAAGUAUUCCACCUGACUCUGGUCAGACUUGAGUUUCUUGGUCUGACUGGGGUUGGGUGCCCUAGCACUUUACACCCUUUUCUUGUUCUUCUUUUCUUUCUUAAAGGAUCGAUGUCC